UCAAAAACAUGUCCUUUUGUUAGUUUAUUUAAGGUUUAACCUGCUCUAUGAAAGUAUUUAAAUGGCUGCGGUAUUUUAACUGCACUAAGGUAGCAUAAUCGUUUGUCUUUUAAUUGAAGGCUGGAAUGAAGGGUUGGACGAAAUAUAAGCUGUCUUAAGUUUUGUUUAAGAACUUGAUUUUUUAGUUAAAAAGCUAAAAUAUAAUUAAGGGACGAGAAGACCCUGUAGAUCUUUAUAAUAGGGUAAAUAUAAUGAGGAUAGUAUCCAUAUUAGUAGUUUUAAUUUAUUAUUUUAUUUGGUUGGGGUGACUUUAGAAUUUGCUUUGCUUCUAAUUAUUGAAAUUUCAAUUAUGAUUGUGAUUUUGAUCUUAUGAUAGUGUUGAUUAAAAGAUUAAGAUACCUCAGGGAUAACAGCGUUAUUUCUUCGGAGAGUUCAUAUCAAUGAAGAAGAUUGCGACCUCGAUGUUGAAUUAAAGUUGAUUUUGGAUGCAAGAAUUCAUGAAUAUAGGUCUGUUCGACCUUUAAUAACUUUACAUGAUCUGAGUUC
rnacentral:rRNA from 1 species